rnacentral:rRNA from 1 species
AUUGAACGCUGGCGGCAGGCCUAACACAUGCAAGUCGAGCGAAUGAAGGGAGCUUGCUCCUGGAUUCAGCGACGGACGGGUGAGUAAUGCCUAGGAAUCUGCCUGGUCGCGGGGGAUAACGUCAGGAAACGGGCGCUAAUCCCGCAUCCGUCCUGAGGGUGAAAGUGGGGGAUCUUCGGACCUAACGCUAUCAGCUGAGCCUAGGUCGGAUUAGCUAGUUGGUGGGGUAAAGGCCUACCAAGGCGACGAUCCGUAACUGGUCUGAGAGGAUGAUCAGACACACUGGAACUGAGACACGGUCCAGACUCCUACGGGAGGCAGCAGUGGGGAAUAUUGGACAAUGGGCGAAAGCCUGAGCGAGCCAUGCCGCGUGUGUGAAGAAGGUCUUCGGAUCGUAAAGCACUUUAAGUUGGGAGGAAGGGAUGUAAGUGAAAAUCUUGCUGUUUUGACGGUACCUACAGAAAAAGCACCGGCUAACUUCGUG